AGGGAUCUGUGAUGGCUCCUAUAUUGUUUAGUGUGUAUAUGCUUCCUUUGGGACAAAUUAUUUGGAAAUAUGGUUUGGGGUAUCACUUUUAUGCUGAUGACACCCAAAUUUACAUCAGCUCCAAGUCUGAUCCUACUCUUACCUCAACAAUUCUUUCAGAGUGUGUGCUGGAAAUAAAAAUGUGGAUGCACCAUAACUUUUUAAAACUGAAUUGUUCUAAAACAGAGGUUCUACUCAUUGGCACAUCAGCGGCUAUUCACAAGGGUAGCAAUCUUAAUUUGAUUAUGGAUGACAGUGUAGUACUUCCAUCUGCUCAGGCUCGUAACCUUGGAGUGAUUUCUGACACUUAUCUGACACUAGACUCUCACAUUAAGAGUAUUACAAAAUCUGCUGUCCAUCACCUCAGAAACAUUGCAAGAAUUAGGCCUUUCCUCACUCCACCUGACGCUGAAAGGCUUAUUCAUGCAUUUGUUACUUCCAGGAUUGACUACUGUAAUGCACUAUUCACUGGCUUACCUGCUAAAUCAAUCAAAUGCCUGCAGUAUAUCCAGAAUUCAGCAGCUCGUGUUCUCACAUAUACUCUAUCAUCUCAGCAUAUCACAGGCGUGCUUUAUAGUUUGCAUUGGCUUCCUGUAGAGUCACGUAUUGUUUUUAAAACUCUAACAUUAACAUACAAAACUAUACAUGGAACUGCCCCUUCUUAUAUUUGUGAUUUAGUCACCCGUUACACGCCUUCUCGUUCCCUUCGGUCUGCUGAUUCUCUUACUCUUCAACAGCCUCCCUAUAGAUUAAAAUCUAUGGGGGAAAGAGCUUUCUCUGUUGCUGCACCUAGGUUAUGGAAUGCACUUCCCGUUGCUGUUAGAGAUGCUCACACACUAGCCAGUUUAAAGAAGCUUUUAAAAACUCAUCUUUUUUAAAAUUGCUUUUAUGGAGUUUUGUACUGUAAUGAGUAUUUUAUGAUUUAUAGUUUCUACUUUGUAUUGCAUUUAUUGUAGUUUUGUAUUUUAUUUGCUUGUAGU
ensembl:lncRNA